rnacentral:rRNA from 1 species
UACGUAGGGUGCAAGCGUUGUCCGGAAUUAUUGGGCGUAAAGAGCUCGUAGGCGGCCUGUCACGUCGGCUGUGAAAACCCGAGGCUCAACCUCGGGCCUGCAGUCGAUACGGGCAGGCUAGAGUUCGGUAGGGGAGACUGGAAUUCCUGGUGUAGCGGUGAAAUGCGCAGAUAUCAGGAGGAACACCGGUGGCGAAGGCGGGUCUCUGGGCCGAAACUGACGCUGAGGAGCGAAAGCGUGGGGAGCGAACAGGAUUAGAAACCCCCGUAGUCC